AACGCACAUUGCGCCUAAGAGUAUUCUUUUAGGCAUGCCUGUUCGAGCGUCGUUUAAACUCUAAAGCUUUGCUUUUUGUUGAUGCGUCGGGUUGCGUAAGCGGCCCGAGCGUCCAAAGACGUUGGCGAUUGAAAUAGCCGAAAGCGCAGCGAAAUGCGAAUGGAAAGCUAUGGAAAGUCUGCCAAUUAAACCACAUAAAUCUCGACCUCGGAUCAAGCAAGAUUACCCGCUGAACUUAA
rnacentral:misc_RNA from 1 species